AACGAACGCUGGCGGCAUGCCUAACACAUGCAAGUCGAACGAAGGCUUCGGCCUUAGUGGCGCACGGGUGCGUAACGCGUGGGAAUCUGCCCUUUGCUUCGGAAUAACAGUUAGAAAUGACUGCUAAUACCGGAUGAUGUCGCAAGACCAAAGAUUUAUCGGCAAAGGAUGAGCCCGCGUAGGAUUAGCUAGUUGGUGGGGUAAAGGCCUACCAAGGCGACGAUCCUUAGCUGGUCUGAGAGGAUGAUCAGCCACACUGGGACUGAGACACGGCCCAGACUCCUACGGGAAGCAGCAGUGGGGAAUAUUGGACAAUGGGCGAAAGCCCGAUCCAGCAAUGCCGCGUGAGUGAUGAAGGCCUUAGGGUUGUAAAGCUCUUUUACCCGGGAUGAUAAUGACAGUACCGGGAGAAUAAGCUCCGGCUAACUCCGUG
rnacentral:rRNA from 1 species